rnacentral:rRNA from 1 species
GUCUAUAUGAAUAAAAUUUAAAGUCUGAUCUGCCCACUGGUAGGAUUGAAGGGCCGCAGUAAUUUAACUGUGCUAAGGUAGCAUAAUCAAUAGUCUCUUGAUUGGGGGCUGGAAUGAAUGGUUGGACAAGAAAUAAUCUAUCUUAUUUAUAAAAGUUGAAUUUUACUUUUAAGUGAAAAGGCUUAAAUGGGUUAAGGGGACGAUAAGACCCUUUAAAGCUUUAUAAGAUGAAGAUAAUAUAAUGAAUACAGGUUAGGUUAGUUUUUUAAAUUUCUUAUUUCAUUGGGGCGAUGAAGACAGAAGGAGUAACUGUUUUAAAUUUGAAAUAAUUAUAAUUAGGGAGAGAGUGAACCUUAUUUAGGGAUUAAAAGAAGAAGUUACUUUAGGGAUAACAGCGUAAAUUUUUUUAAAGAGUUCUUAUCGAUGAAAGUAGUUGCGACCUCGAUGUUGAAUUAAGAUAGAAGUAGGAAGCAGCCUUUUUACUUGUAAGUCUGUUCGACUUUUAAAAUCUU